CCUCAUGACAGGAGGAUCUGAAAGUAAUCAAACCUGAGAAACCAAAGCAAACCGCAAAGGAAAGAGAGAGAAAAAAGUAGAAAACUAUUCACUUCUAAAAAUAAAGACACAGAUCAAGCUGAAGUACGACCCGUGAGCAAUAAGCUACCCGGCCGACAGCCGGCGUGCUGAAGAUCACAGACGGGUCUGCCGCACGCCAAGACCGAGGCUGCUUUGCUCUAGGCCCAGCUCUGCUCCGAAACUCGCCCUCCUGCACCGGUUAUCCUAACACGCUGCUCUCCUCCAGGAGAUCAGCUGUGGGGCUCAGCUCCGCUCAGCUCACAAAAAUCUACCUUCCUCCCCCCGACUUCUGCAAACGCCAGACACACACAGAAACUGUGCCGAAGCAGAGGAAACCGCCAAGCUCACUGGGUGCCCCGGUUCAUUAGAAGUGACAAGUUCAGCACAGCACGAGGACCUUGACAUUUAAGGGCCCCGGCAGAGCCCUGCCACCUCGCCUGCCGCGCUAGUCACUCAGCGCGGCCGCCUGGGUCACGUCCGUCCUGCUCCUCGCCUGCCGUCACCGAGCCGGGACAGAUGAGGAUGACAACGGCCAGACCUUUCCCGGGCAGCUCUCCCGCCACGUC
rnacentral:lncRNA from 1 species